GAUGAACGCUGGCGGCGUGCCUAAUACAUGCAAGUCGAGCGGACGGACGAGAAGCUUGCUUCUCUGAUGUUAGCGGCGGACGGGUGAGUAACACGUGGAUACCCUACCUAUAAGACUGGGAUAACUUCGGGAAACCGGAGCUAAUACCGGAUAAUAUUUUGAACCGCAUGGUUCAAAAGUGAAAGACGGUCUUGCUGUCACUUAUAGAUGGAUACGCGCUGCAUUAGGUAGUUGGUAAGGUAACGGCUUACCAAGGCAACGAUGCAUGGCCGACCUGAGAGGGUGAUCGGCCACACUGGAACUUAGACACGGUCCAGACUCCUACGGGACGCAGCAGUAGGGAAUCUUCCGCAAUGGUCGAAAGCCUUACGCAGCAACGCCGCGUGAGUGAUGAAGGUCUUCGGAUCGUAAAACUCUGUUAUUAGUUAAGAACAUAUUUGUAAUUAACUGUGCACAUCUUGACGGUACCUAAUCAGAAAGCAACGGCUAACUACGUG
rnacentral:rRNA from 1 species